UCAACGGCAGAACGAAAUGGAGCGAAGUAUUUCAGAAGCAAUGAAUGAUCAACCACAUCUGAAAGCGAAGAUAGAAUGUCGCAAACGUGUCUUUCUUUUUAAUUGCGACAAAACGUACAGUUUAGAAUCGGUGGGGAAACUGCUUCUUGACAUGAAAGGGGAUACAAGACAAGAGCUCAGCUUCGACAUCGUCAAGACAUAUUUUCGCCCUUCUGAAAUGUCGCAUGUGGCUGAAAAAGCCACUCCCAAACUACAAAUGGAUGUUGUCUUAUAUGUGGUUUAUGCGAAUGAACCUCGUCUUUCCAUAAACGAGGAAAAUGCUGGACUCGGUUAGGCAAAGAUCUAUAAAGCACUACUUCAAGCUACAGACAGAAAUGUUCAAAUUGUAAUUGGUGGUGACAAUCAUUAAAAGAGUACAGAUGAAGAGAAGUCGUCUGUAAUUUCUCGUUGGGCAAGGAGAAAAGUUUCCUCUCAGUUUCAAGACGAGUUUCUGGACGGAAGGAAAAGCUUCAUCUUUUUGUGGAACAAAACUCACAGAAAGAUUCAUGAAGAAGUGCUACCGAAUUAUUUUGACUCAGGUAAGAGUGGACAAAAGUUUGAAUGUAAGCCAAAUGAGCGGCCUGAACUAUCUGAAGAUACUCCUCACAAGGCACACGAGACCGAGAAGCUAGAAGCGGUAUUGCGGGAGCAAUUAACGGAUCGUCCACAUGCAACAGAUGGGGCGCACAGUUCCUCAGAGAAAGACGUAAACACAAACACAUGUUUAUCUUGGAGGUGAGGUGUAAUGACGAAGAAGAUAAAUCAAAAGAAGAAAGAAAGAAGGAAACGACGUGGAAAGAUCCUAAAAGUAACGGGGAUGGACCCUCGGAAGACUGUGCCAGGAAAAUCGCCCCGAUGAAGACAACGGAAGAUGUGUUGAUUUCUUAUUUACGUGAUAUAGGCACGAUAGGCAUGGAUGACUAUGUCACAGUAAACGAGGAUGACCUUAUUGAUGAGGAAAGAAGUAACUAUUUGAGAGUAUCGUUGUGUCUAAGUUUACCUUAGGCUAUCGAUUGGUUGUUUUUAUUUUGAGUUUAUUCAGUUUAUGAAUAGUUCGAUGAAAUCUUCGUCACCAAGAAAAUAUUAACGGAGAGCUCUCAGUUGAUAUUCUCCUGUCGUCAGAUAUGGUUCGAUUUUUACAUAGUUACGUAAUUGUGGGAGGUGAUUUGGACCAUUUUGUGUUUUAUUAUUUGUUUUCCCGUGCUAGGAAAUUUAAGGCAAUUUUUGUUCCAUUGCAGUGCGUUAGGGUUGAAGCCCCUGUUAAUUUUUCUUUUUGCUCAGAUGAUCAAUCAAGGUUCCUUACAUAUUUAUGAUAGCGUGAAUUGUAGACAUAGCAUCUCCCUUUUCUGAGAGUAUUUACCCAGGCCGACGCAUGUUUUGGCUUUUGAAUAUAGUCUGAAAUGAUGUUCUUCCUGUCUCAGAGAGAUUCUAGUCCUUCAGCACGUUUGAAAGUGUUUUUUAAUGUUCUCUGUCUCAUGAAAACCAGUUUUCGUGUCGCAUAUUCAGCGAACACACCAUGUUAAAGCGACAGUUUCCGUAACGAAGAUUUUCAAUUUUCAGCGUUUUCUGAGGACCAGCAAAUGAAUGACAAAACAAAUUAAGGGACGCUUGUGAUGAAAACCGUCAUGCGAAAUGGCAGCAUCCUCUAAGUAUGCUUGAAAUCCGCAGUGGAUACCUCCGAGUGGAUUUUUACCCCAUAUAUAUAUUUGAGCAGCUGGCACAUGUUGCAGAGAUCGAAGUGGAAAUCUUCCAUAAGGAGGAGGCAGGCGCUUUGUGCGUUGUGAUGAGAGAGAAUUCGGUCAUCCAUGCCAUUAUUGAGUAUUUUUGGAACAUGAUGAGCGGGGUUUUGACCGUCUUUACAAUCUCAGUCUUAAAAGUGCCUGAAGAUAACGAUAUAGAGAAGCAGACUGAUGAACUUCUGAUCUGAAGCACGAGGGAUCUAUUUGUUUUUCAAAACAAGCGGCAAGAACCCAUAAUCCCCUAUCCCCCUUCCCCGCCCCCUCCAUUUCCUUGUGUAAAUAAUUAUAUGCCAGAACCACGUAAAUCUCUAAAGUACUUGUUAGCUUCGUUAAAGUCACGUAAACGACAACAAAAUGUAUUAGGAGCAUCAAUAGCUAACGUGUAGCUGGAACAGACACCUUAGAUUAGAAACAUAUUUGCAGAAAGAGGGGAUGGAUUUUGAAUGUAUAGGGAUUCUUGGAUCCGUUCAGCUGACCGUGAUCUGGGGGAAGCCAAAGUUCUGCAUUUUUUUUUAUCGCUAUAAUUGUUUUAGUUUAAGACUAGAACAGUGACAGGGUCAAAGCUUGUGGUGUAAUUGUAAUCUUAUCUUUCACUACACAGUAAGAGUAUUGUAUCGCUUAUCCUGUGAACUCAAUUACAAACACAUUUAGAUAGGGUCGAAGUGUUGGAGUACAAACACUAAGACCAUAUUACCAUUUCAAAACAACAUUGUGCCUCUUUAUCAUGUUUAAUAAAUUUGGCGUACAUCUGUACAUUGACAGGUC